CAAAGUGCUGGGUUUACAGGCUUGAGCCACCGCGCCCGGCCCGCAUUUUUUUUUUUAGUAUAAAAAUCAUUCUGUUGCAGCAGUUUAUCAAAGCUAAUAAGUGUUUAAAUUGACAAAGAGCUUCAGUUUUACAGAGAAAAUAGGUCAUUUAUUCUUAUUAAAUAUUUAGUAGUGAUCAACAUGAUGAGAACUAUAGGAAAAGAGGCAGUCUUGAUUUAAAAAAAAAAAUUGAUGCUGAGGAAGUAUGAUGACUACAGACUCAAUAGUAGCAACCACAGGGACUGCUUUACAGAGGAGGUAGGACUUAUCUCUGUGCUUUGCAGGAGAAUAGGGAUUUGAGUGAAUGUGUGAUGGAAAGGAGGCACUCCUUGACUGAGGAUGGCACAUAUGGAGAAGGAACAUUCUAAGUUUCAAGAUUUUUGAGGGGAGAAAUGGAAGUUCAUGGUGGAAAGGGUGGGCUCAGAGAAUUAUGGGCCUUGAAAAUCAGGUGGGUGGUUUUAAGGUGGAAAAAGAUUGUCUAAUUGUACCACAGAGGGAAUGGAUCAGGGUGGCUACCUAGGGAGAUUUUGGAGUUGGAUUGAUGGCAUUGGGAAUGGGGUGAAAUGGUGACUGUAUGACAUUUCAAACAAAGAAAUCAGGGGAAUUAGUAGUAGGGCCUUUGUGUGGCUGUUCCCUUGAGAGUGUGCUCUCCCCUCACAUGCCUGCAUGGUCUCCUCCCUCACCUCCUGCAAGGCUUUGCUCAGAUGUCACCUUUCUCUCAGUGAGGUUUAUCCUGCCACCUUUUAAAAUAUUGUCCUCAUCCUACAGUGCUUUCAUUCUCUGUAAGACUAUCUUCUAACAUACUGUAUUUAUUUACUUAUCAUAUAUACUUAGUUACUGUUUAUUGUCUCCUUCCUGUCAGUCUAAGCUCCGUGAAAGUGGAUGUCUUCAUUUUGUUCACCAGUGUAUCUCAAGUGCAUAGGAAGUGCCUGGUGCAUCCUAGGCACUCAGUAAAUACUUGGGUGGCAGUAGGUCUUAGCUGUAAAGAGGUGGAGUAGAGAAAUUAAGAGUGACUCCAUGAGAGGAAAAAAGAAUGACUCCAAGCUUUUUUAUAGCUGGAUAAUGCCUUUAACUUAAUGAGUAAUUUGGCACCAGAAGGAUUAAGGGGAGAUGAAUUCUAGUUUAAGCAUGUUGAGUUUGAGGUGAAGGUAGCCGAAUAAAAUUCCUCAGUAGUCAGCAAAGAUUAAAAAAAAAUGAAACUUAGUUGGAAAUGGGAGAAAGCCUUAAGCAGAGAAGUGGCUACUAGCAUCUAGCAUUCACCUCAUAUUCUCUCUCUCUCUCUCUCUCUCCCCCCCCCCCCCCCUCUCUCUCUCCCUCUCUCUCUCUUCUCCUGUUCUGCAGGUCCAUGCUUUCUAUUUUUCCCCCACCUCUCUUAAGACAUACAUAUUCAGGAUUACUUGCAAUCUUCUGCUUGUAUUGAAAUUAACCUUCAGAUGGUGCUGCUUUCUUGUCAUACCUUUGAUCUCUUGGGAGUCUUGAGGUUCUUGGCUGAGAUAAAAGAGGAAACUUCCGUUUCCUCCUUGUGGCCUAGGCCUCAGGUCAUGGUUGCUGAUGUUACAGGUGUCGGCUUUACUAUCUCCUGGAGCUCCCUGAUGGCUUUCCUUUUAAAUGCUUUUCCUGCUGUUUCUCUCAAUGAACCAGACACUGAUGUUGUUGUAUCCCUAGACCAUCUUUAUUUUUCUAUUUGGAUUGUUCUAACUUAAGUUUUUCUUCCAGUUUGAAGGCAGAUUCAAUUCAUGUGACUGGGUUGUCAGAAAUUUAAUGAAUUCUUUGUUUAUAGGAAUUUUGUAUAUAAGCCCCAACAUAACUGGCUGUAGUUAUAGUCAGUGUAUCUGUGACUCACUUUUCAAAGGAGGAUAGUUCCUAACUUACCUGAUCAUUGUGAAACUAGUGUACAGUAGUAUUUAUAAAGUACCUAGUACAUAGCCUGACACCAGUAGGUGUUCAAUAAAUGGGAAUUAUAUAUUUAAAUAAGUGAAAGACUGUCUUCUGGAAGAGGAGAUACAUGUCUGUGUAAUGAAGAACUAGAAUUAGUUAGACUGACAGGCAGAUUUCAGCUCAAUAUAAGAAAGAUCUUUCUGUCUACCAUAGCUAUCAUAAAUGGAACAUUGUAAGAUAGUAAGUUCCCUGUCACACUGGAACUAUUCAGUCAGAGGCUAGAUAAUCUUCUGUCUGAGAAAUUGUAGAAGAAAUUUCUUGCUUUAGGUGGGAGGUUGGACCUGUUUAUCUCUAAGCUCUGUUUCUCCUCUAGCAUUCUGUACUUUUGGGUAUAGUCCAAGCUUUCUUGCUUACCGAUUUUAGCCAAAUAUAGUCUAAAUAUCCCUAGGAUUCAUGACUUCAAGAUGAGCAGUAUCUCUUGUAAUUGUAACUCUUGUAUGAGAAAUGUAAAAUGUAACUCUUGUAUUGUAUGAGAAAAGUUAGUUUAUUCAUUGAUUGGCAUGUAUUCUGGUCAUUUUCCAAAAAAGGAUUUUGGAAGCUUGAAAUAAUAACAAAUUCAUUAAGACCAAAACUACUGACCACAAAAGAUAGGACUCAGUAAGUCAAAAAGGGAAAGAGAACAAUUAUCCAUAAGUUUAGCUGAGGAAAGCUUUAGAAGUUCAACACAAUACUUAGCUCUGAGUUUUCUAGUAACCAAGGCAAAUAAGUAAGCCUGAUAAUUUGCAUAGAUCUUAUUGCCUAUCCAGAAUUCAUGAGGAGGCUGCCACCUUCCUUAAUAAAGUGGAGCCCCAAAGCCAAGAUUGUAAUACAGGGAGACUCUCUAGGUGGUAAGGGGUUAUUGCUGGAUCUGGCAAUAAUCUGAUUCUUGUUCCCAGACUUCCCUUUUAACAUACAUUGAGGGUUCAGUUUAGUGCUGCUACUGCCAUCUUUCUUCUCCACUUUAAGUCUCUGAUCCAAGUUUGAACACAUUAGUCUUUUCCUAGUGCCAAUAGAACAGCUGAUGUAAGGCUAGGACAUUUAAAUCAAGCUUUUCUAAAAGCUAGAGGAUAAUGAAUAGAGAGCAACAUGAAACUGUUCAGUCUGGCUUACAAAGACGUUUUUCUCAUGCCCUUAUCAUUUAGUGUGUCUCCAUUUGAUACAGUUCAUCUGAGUGCUGCCACCAAAGUCAGAG